GCAGUGGUGAUUCAGUGGUAGAAUUCUCAACUUCCAUGCAGAAGACCUAGGUUUGAUUUCUGGCCAAUGCA
rnacentral:tRNA from 1 species